UGCAAAGGUAGCAUAAUCGUUAGUUUUUUAAUUGGAAUCUUGUAUGAAUGGUUGGACAAAAGAAAAUCUGUCUUUAUAUUGUUUAUUGAAUUUAACUUUUAAGUGAAAAGGCUUAAAUAAAUUAAAGGGACGAUAAGACCCUAUAAAGCUUAAUAUUAAUAUUUUACUUGGUUAAAUUUUCUUGCUCAUAAAAACUUAGUAAUUGAAUUUAUUUUAUUGGGGCGAUAAAUGUAAAAUGGCUACUAACUGCUUAAUUUUUUAUACAUUUAUAAAUGAAUUAGGAAAUAAAUGAUCCUUAAUAUAAAGAUUAAAAGUUUAAGUUACUUUAGGGAUAACAGCGUUAUCUUUCUUAAGAGUACAUAUCGAAAGAAAAUUUUGCGACCUCGAUGUUGAAUUAAAAUACCUUUAUAAUUGCAGCAGUUAUAUAAGUAGGUCUGUUCGACCUUUAAAAUUUUACAUGAUU
rnacentral:rRNA from 1 species